rnacentral:rRNA from 1 species
GACGAACGCUGGCGGCGUGCUUAACACAUGCAAGUCGAGCGAUGAAGCUCCUUCGGGAGCGGAUUAGCGGCGGACGGGUGAGUAACACGUGGGUAACCUGCCUCAUAGAGGGGAAUAGCCUUCCGAAAGGAAGAUUAAUACCGCAUAAGAUUGUAGCUUCGCAUGAAGUAGCAAUUAAAGGAGUAAUCCGCUAUGAGAUGGACCCGCGUCGCAUUAGCUAGUUGGUGAGGUAACGGCUCACCAAGGCGACGAUGCGUAGCCGACCUGAGAGGGUGAUCGGCCACAUUGGGACUGAGACACGGCCCAGACUCCUACGGGAGGCAGCAGUGGGGAAUAUUGCACAAUGGGGGAAACCCUGAUGCAGCAACGCCGCGUGAGUGAUGACGGUCUUCGGAUUGUAAAACUCUGUCUUCAGGGACGAUAAUGACGGUACCUGAGGAGGAAGCCACGGCUAACUACGUGCCAGCCGCCGCGGUAA